AUAGCCUGUAAGCUAGCAUUCCAGCAAUACAUACAGACAUCAAAGUAUUCCAGAUGGAUAUUAAAUUUGAUUUAACCGCCUUCCAAGAUUCUCUCGCAAAAGAUGUGAAAAUGGAACUAAGUAACUUUAAAUAAGAAGUCAAUUAAAAACCGGAUGGCCUGAUCACGGACCUAAACGCAACAGCAGAAAAGGUCAACGAAGUGAGGAAGCGAGUUGGAGAAUUGGAGAACGUUGCUUAGAUAAAAGAAAUUCUUGGUCAAACCAUACAAAUUAAGACAUGAAGAAAACUAUUAAGAGAAACUGUUAUAUCUAGAAGCACGCUCCCGUAGAAAUAAUAUUCAGAUUUUUUGAAUCCCGGAAGGAAGCAAAGGGAAUAAUAUCCAAGAUCCAAGUGGAAAUGUUUAUCAAAACGAACUGUCACUUGACGAAAUAGAUCUUAAAAUCCGACAAUGUCAACAGAGGCAUCAAGAGAUCUGAAAGAAAAAGGACUAAUAAACAGCAAAGAAGAAACUAUUAUAGGAAUCGUUCGAGAGAAACAAAGAUCUUGGCAAAGUUUGGAGUGACAUCAAAGAAAAGAAUUUGAAAUUGAAUUUUAAAGAGACAACACUAGCUCCAUUUGAAAGAAGGGUAAAACCUGACAGAUCCUAACAAAGAACUCUGAGAGACUGGUAAAACUUCUUGACUUGAUUCAAAGAUAAUCGACAUUUAAAUCGUUUGAAGGAAGAAUAGUAUUUAACCGAACUGACCAACGACACAAGAUGAACGAUUAAAGCACACCAAGACUCGAGUCAUUGAGUAACAUACUGGUAGGAAGACAUAAAGGGAUUCUAUUUUAUACAUUUAAAAUUCCUUGCUAUAAAUAGAAAUAUUUCACUUGAAAACCUAACCAAAAAUACAAGAAUAUAGUACUGCCAGAUAUGGGUGCUGAAUAUAUUUGUUAACAUUUUUUGUGCAA
ensembl:processed_transcript